UCUCUGAUAGUAUAUUGGCUAGUACACCCGCCUGUCACGCGGGAGAGCUGGGUUCGAUUCCCAAUCAGAGAG
rnacentral:tRNA from 1 species